AUGCUUAGCUCUUUGGGGGCUUGCAGAGAACGAAGCCCUGUUAGAGACCAGCCCCCUUCCAAGAUCUUUGUCCAAUAUCAAGAGACAGAGGAAGAGUCCCAAAAACCCUCGUUCCAGCCUGUCUCUCCAUCAGGAGCCCCUGGCAAACCAGAACCUCAGCCUGCAGUCAGGGCCAAAGUCCCAGAACAAUCUCAGAUACUCUCAGAGGUAUCUUAUAAAGCAGUAGACCUCAAGACCCAGCAAUGUAGUCAGCCUGUGCCAAUGAUUGUUGUGCAAGAGUAUGAAGAGGAGAAAAGUAGUCCACAACCACAAAUGCAUCCCUCUGUGCAAGUGAAAGACUCUCAGUCCAUUGAAGUUAAGUCAGAGAAAGUUGUCCAUGAUCAAACAAAAGUCGACAUAGAGCAUCAUGUUGAAAGCCAGGAAUCUUUACCACAGUCUGUGACACAACAACAGACAGAAAAAAGUCCAGUAGCUGGCCAACCCUCACAGAACCUACAACAAGCAGAGUCACAAGUACAUAAUAAACAACAAUUAGCAACACAGCCCCAUGUGCACAUUCAUCAACAAGAGAAAACUCAGCUUGCAAAACAGCAGAAGGUUCAACCACAAGUUUCAAUCCAGUCACGGCCUCAGGGCCAACUAGAAGCACAAACACAGCAAGCUCCAAAGCAGCAGAGGAAAGUAAAGAAGUCCCAGGCACAUCUGCAGAACAGACCUUGGCUUCAACAGAGGAGUCAACCAGAAAGAGUUACCCAAAACGCAGUGCAACAGUUGGUCCCACAAUCUCAGUCAGAGCCUGAGGACAAAUGUCAAAUAAGUUCUCAAGCACCACCACAGCAUAUAAUAGCUGUUUGUUCACCUGCGGCUCACGGACCUGCUCAAGGCACAGCACAGUCAAAAAGCAUUGGUAAGAGUGAUGAGAAUCACCUGAAGCCAGCUCAGUCUGUUGCACAAGAGAAACCUCUUGUAGAAACACAAAACACACCUCAAACUGUGCCAGCAGUUUCAGCACAACCAGUGACUCAAAAACAACCACAAAAGCCAGUGACUGUUCCGAUUCAUCAACAAGUAUUUCCCAAACCUCAACCCUCUUUAUCAACUCAAGCUCAAACAACUACACAACAAACACUAGCUACUGCACCCAUUAAGCAACAAAAGCAACUUCAAACACAGAUAGUGACACCACAGCAACCUCAAGUGAUGAUCCAGAAACAGGCACAAUCUCAAUCCAUGACUCCAAUGCAACCCCAGGUUAUGGCCCAAUGGCAGCCACAACAGACAAUUGCUCAGCCUCGUCCUGCAGUGCCACAACCACAAAUAUUUCCAGUGGCCCAAACAAUGCCUCAAAGGCCAGUCCAACAAUACCCAACAUCUCCCAUUCAACCACAAAUAACAAUGCAGAGACAACAGUCUCAGUCCCAGCAAACCACAAUGCGCAAUCCGACUGUUAUUACCCCUCAACCCAAAGGUGCAUCCCCCAUACAACCCAGAAUCAUCUCUAUGCCUCGACCCCAGAUGCCUAUUCAAUCUCAAACUCAGGUCAAAGCACAGGGAAGUGUACCACAUGUGAUUCAACCUCAGGGGCAACCCCAGUGGAGUCAACCAGGAGAUGUCACCCAAACGUACCCCAGAGUGCAAGGACCAGUUUCUGUAGCUGCCCAAAUGCAGCCACUGGCCCAUUUCCAAACUCAUCCCCAACCUCCAAGUAUCCCUCCAACUCAGCUUCAGCAGUGGUCACCAAUAAGACCAGGCUUAGUGAGCCAGACAUACCCAACUGUCCAAGUUCCAGGUCAGGUAGUUCAAUCUCAGCCUCAAAUGGCAGUUUACCCUAAAAUCCAGCCGCAAUCACAGCCUCAGCAGUGGUCCUCUGCUAGACCUGAAUUACCUUGGGGUCAGUCACAGAUAAGACCUCAAGGUCCAGCUCAGCAUAUAGUUCCCUCUCAGCAAUGGAGGUCUAUCAGUCCAGAAAGAGUCAGUCCAGUAUACCCAAGGGCUGAAACCCAAGGGCCCAAGGGACCACAUCCUCAGACCCAAUAUCAAGCUCUUCCAAGGCCAGCAAGCCCUCAACGUCAGUGGAGACCAGUCCGGCCAGAACAUCAGUUUCAAGUUUCUUCCCAGACUAUGUUCCAUGGUGCUCCCCAGCCAGUAGCUCCAUGGAAUCAACCACCUUCUCAAGCUCUCAUAAGAUCUCAGAGUCCACAACAGCCUCAGCAAAGUCAGCAAUGUAUGUUUUAUAAGAGAUUGUGGUUAAUUUUCCCAAGUGUCUGUGUGGGGUUUUUGUUUCUUUUUUAG
ensembl:lncRNA